rnacentral:lncRNA from 1 species
CUUUUUAGGAACCUGUGAAUAUCAGCAAAAUAGCAAACAACGAAUCUGGUGCUGCUUUCUUACCUGAACAGAAGGGUAAUCCUCAUUAGCCUCAGUGUUGUCUAAUUCUAGACAUUUGAUUUUCUGGUUGCCUGCCCCUGAUUUUAAGGUCUUUAUUCUGCUGCCACAUCACUUCCAUGCUGGGCUUAGAGGCUGAAGGCUGAUUUAAAAUCCAGUGAUGCCAAAGAACUUUUCCUGUUGGUUGCAAUGAAUUUAGCAUAAAACUGAAAAAUAAAGUUCUGUUAAUUAGAAACAAAUUUGCAUGAUAUGAGUAGUUUCACCUUCAGGGUGUUCUACCUGUGACUCAUGAAAGAAAAUGAGACUUAGGUGCACCUGGUUCAUGGCUUGGGCAGAAGAAAAGUGGGAUUUUUGUUACAACCAGAAAACCAUAAAAGGAUGUUUCUGUGUGCAUGUAAGGACACUGCACUUCAGUUUCCUGCCUCAUGCCUUCUCAUCAUUUAUGCCUGUCACCAAAUUGGUUUAAAACCAUGUGUUAUAAACUGAUUUGGUGUUUUGCAGACAGCUCACUGGAGUUAAUUGAAGCCUAGUUCCUAAUGACUCUGCUGUGACUGCCCCCAUCUCCCCACAGUGCCCCACUUCCAUCCCACAUUUCCCUGCUCCUCAGCAUGUAGCCAGUGGUCCCACAGCGCAAGAGACAGCACGUGCUGGUAUACAUGAGGUGACUGGGUGGAGAAACUGAAACACAAAGGGAAGAAAUGCUGCCCAUGGUUAUAUGGCAUGCCGAUGGCAGAGGGUGUUGUAAGCACUUUUACCCGAAUGCCAUGCUAUUUUACAUGGAGGGGACUGCCAUCAGUUACCACAGCAGUGUAUUACAGCCAAAUGGGUCUGACAAUAUAAAGGAGAUUUGCAUUAAUAUUUCAUCUGAUGUCUUAAUCGGCUGUUGAUAAAUAUAAAUAUUUGACCCUGGAAGUCUUCGGUUGCAUCAUGUCAAAAUCUUCCUGUUUCUAGGAUUUUGUUGUUCAGCUUCAUGGGAUUUUUAGUUAAUGAUCUCAGUGUGGAAAUUCUUCUUCUGCAGCAUGUAUGAAAUAAAUGAUAUUGUUCUCAUUUGGACUCUGCA